rnacentral:misc_RNA from 1 species
GGCGUAAGGCACCGUUCGGGCCUCAUCCUUCGUGACGCCCUGCUUUGCAGAGCUCCUCAGGAUGAGGAAUCAGCGAUAGCGCCCAGGGAAACGGCUCCUCAUCCUAAGGGGCGCCGCGAAGAGGCGCGUCUCGAAGGAUGAGGCCGAGGUCCUUAACUCGAUCAGCCCCUCUUCCGCCUUGUAUUCUCCGUGAACCCAUGUUUCACACGGGCCGACCAAAGGGGCAGCAAAAGGCCAAUCAGCGAGAUGGCGCGAAGGUUUUCCGCG